GCUGACCAACUAGCCCACUCGAUUGAAUUUUAAUACACUAUUUGUACUUUCCAAAGGACUUAUACACCAAUUACCCAAAGCAUUUUUCCACCUUAGUACGGGAGACAGAAAAGGAACCAGGAGCAACAUAGUUAGUACCGAAAGGGAAAGUUGAAAUAGAAAUGAAACAACCACCCAAGCGCAAAGAAGCAGAGAUAUAUCCUCGUACCUUUUGCAUCAUGUUUUAGCCAGUACUACUUGAGCAAAGAGAACUUUAGUUCAAGCCCCCGAAACUAGACGAGCUACUCCGAGACAGCCUAUUAUAGGGCCAACCCGUCUCUGUGGCAAAAGAGUGGGACGAGCUCCGAGUAGAGGUGAAAAGCCUACCGAGCCUAGUGAUAGCUGGUUGUCUAAGAAAUGAAUGUAAGUUCAGCCCAUCCAGUUACCAUUCCACCUAAGCGAAGCUUGCUAUGGUGUGGGUAUACCUGAUGGAGUUAGUCAAAGGGGGUACAGCCCCUUUGAAUAGGGAUACAACCCUAAUGGAUGGCUAAGGAUCAUACUUAUUAAGGAGAUGUUUUUUAGUGGGCCUAAAGGCAGCCACCUAACUAGAAAGCGUUAAAGCUCAGACACCUUUACUUCCUAUUAUACCGAUAAAGAAUCCUACCCCCCCCCCCUAUUAGACCAUCCUAUGCACUCAUAGGAGUGACCAUGUUAGAAUGAGUAACAAGAGGGCUUAGCCCCUCUCCCUGCACCAGUGUAAGUCGGGUUGGACCACCCACCGAUAAUUAACGAACCCAGCGCCAGAGGGAAAUAAGAAUUAAGCAGACUACUAGAAGUCCUCAUAAUAUAUAAUCGUUUACCCUACACAGGAAUGCUUCAGGAAAGACUAAAUGGAAAAGAAGGAACUCGGCAAACAUAAGCCUCGCCUGUUUACCAAAAACAUCGCCUCUUGAAACACCAUAAUAAGAGGUCCUGCCUGCCCUGUGAUAAUAUUUUAACGGCCGCGGUAUUUUGACCGUGCAAAGGUAGCGCAAUCACUUGUCUUUUAAAUAGAGACCCGUAUGAAUGGCAAGACGAGGGCUAAACUGUCUCCUUUUCCCAGUCAGUGAAAUUGAUCUCCCCGUGCAGAAGCGGGGAUGUUCUCAUAAGACGAGAAGACCCUAUGGAGCUUUAGACACUAGAAAGCCCACGUAAAACAGCUUUUAAGCGGAACCUAGCGGUACCUUAUCUAAAUGUCUUCGGUUGGGGCGACCGCGGGGGAAAGAAGAGCCCCCAUGUGGACCGGGAGUAUUUCCUAAAUUUAAGAAUAACCCUUCUAAAAAACAGAAAUUCUGACCAAAUUGAUCCGGCAAAGCCGAUUAACGAAACCAGUUACCCUAGGGAUAACAGCGCAAUCCCCUCCCAGAGUCCAUAUCGACGAGGGGGUUUACGACCUCGAUGUUGGAUCAGGACAUCCUAAUGGUGCAGACGCUAUUAAGGGUUCGUUUGUUCAACGAUUAAAGUCCUACGUGAUCUGAGUUCAGACCGGAGUAAUCCAGGUCAGUUUCUAUCUAUGAUUUGACCUUUUCUAGUACGAAAGGACCGAAAAGAGGGGGUCCAUGCAAAAGUACACCCCACCCCUAACUAAUGAAACAAACUAAAUUAGGUAAAGGGACACACCCCCUAAGCCAAAGAUAACGGCAU
rnacentral:rRNA from 1 species